GAUGAACGCUGGCGGCGUGCCUAAUACAUGCAAGUCGAGCGAACAGACGAGGAGCUUGCUCCUUUGACGUUAGCGGCGGACGGGUGAGUAACACGUGGGUAACCUACCUAUAAGACUGGGAUAACUUCGGGAAACCGGAGCUAAUACCGGAUAAUAUUUCGAACCGCAUGGUUCGAUAGUGAAAGAUGGCUUUGCUAUCACUUAUAGAUGGACCUGCGCCGUAUUAGCUAGUUGGUAAGGUAACGGCUUACCAAGGCAACGAUACGUAGCCGACCUGAGAGGGUGAUCGGCCACACUGGAACUGAGACACGGUCCAGACUCCUACGGGAGGCAGCAGUAGGGAAUCUUCCGCAAUGGGCGAAAGCCUGACGGAGCAACGCCGCGUGAGGGAUGAAGGUCUUCGGAUCGUAAAACUCUGUUAUUAGGGAAGAACAAACGUGUAAGUAACUGUGCACGUCUUGACGGUACCUAAUCAGAAAGCCACGGCUAACUACGUG
rnacentral:rRNA from 1 species